GUUAGCCUAUCCAUCUAUCCUCUCUCUCACUCAAGUGCCCUCUCCCCCUCUCACUCAGGUGCCCUUUAGCGAUUCUCGUUAGAUCCGGCAAAUUUACAUCGUGGGAAGCGUAGAUCGGAGGUGGAGAUGCAAGGGGCGUACACGGAGAGGGAGAAACCCAAAUCAAGUAGGGAGGAAGAGGCCCCCUGUGAACGCUGGCGAGUCUCCAUUCCAUCAUCCUGGUACCAGGGCGCCGACGAUGCCAUGGCGAGUUGAGGGGACUUCAAGGAGUGCCGAUCUGCUUCCUAGUUGAAGAUGCUAGGGGGACAAGUCUGGAUAGUAGAGUAUGGCUCUCCACAUCAGGUUUGGCGUCCUGCUUAAGUAUGUUGUUUCACCUGUAGGCAACUUAUACUGAAUCGACAAGUAAUCUAUCUUAUCAUAGUUUAACAUUUUUGUUCUUCUAAUUUAGUAUUUUUGUGUUCCGAUGAUGAUAGGUAUUUCUAAUGAAUUCGAUUUACUUUGCUCUCUCACUUAUCCUAAGUUACUUUUUGAGUCCAUUAUAUCUUUUGAAACUAGCAAAUAGUAUCCUGGUAUUAAUUAAGCAAUUCCUCAUUUUUUAGUUUUUGUUUUUUUGCUCAAUGA